rnacentral:misc_RNA from 1 species
CACCAACAAAAGUACAAUAACCAGUCAUAGACCUCCUAUCAUCAAAAGAUCUAGCCCAAUCUGCAUUCGUAAAGGCUUUUAUCUGGAGAUGGCCACGCCUUGAAAAAAGGUCAUUUUCCGGGUGCAAAUGUCAGAUAUCUCAAAAUACAGAAAACAGCUUCUAAGUGAGGUUAGCUAGGAUCAUACAUAUUCUGACUUACUCGACUCACCGCAUAAGCUAUGCCAGGUCUAGUAUACGAGAGAUAAAUCAAUCUCCCAACCAACCUCUAAUAUCUUCCUAAGUCAAUUGAUUCCCCAACUCAUGCUUGUAAUCUAUUAUUAGUUAAAAUAGGUAUUUUAUAGAUUUAUAGCUCAACGUUUCCGUUUCUUCUAAGAGGUCUAAAAUA